GUCUACGGCCAUGCCACCCUGAACAUUCCCAAUCUCAUCUGAUCUCGAAAGAUAAGUAGGGUCGGGCCUGGUUAGUACUUGGAUGGGAGACCACCUAGGAAUACCAGGUGCUGUAGGCA
rfam:Pteropus alecto contig85127, whole genome shotgun sequence.